AAAAGUGAGUCAGUCAAAUGUCUGCCUUUUUGAUUUUAGGUAAAUUUGUCAAUUUACUUUAUAGCUUAUACAUAUUGUUUGGUUUACUACCUUGUUAAUUAUUGUAUGCUGCUUAGUAAAAUGUUAUUAAAAACUGAAGAAUAGAUGUUUUUGGGAUAAUAGUUGUUUUAAUUUUAUUAUAGGCUAUCUUUCGUGGAAAGGGUGUUAUUUGGUACUCGUUCCUGUUUCAGAUAUCCCUCCCCUGUGAAAAAGUUCGAUCUUAAUGGUGAAAAAAUAAUCGGGAGUACACGUUGUGUUGAUUAAUUUUUAACACUUUUAUAAUAUGCUACAGAGAUUUUUUUCUUGAACAUGCGCGCAACUGUUUAUCCUGUUCUGUGGGGGAGAGAUAAAGGCUGCGUCCAAAUAACCACACUUGCGGUCUUUGCACUUGACCACUUGAAUACUUGCAUGACGUAUUGCCUGUAUUUUGCCCAAGUGUUAUUGGGCGUGAACAUCCCAAGCGUGCAUGUAAAAAUUAUUCACCUGAUGGGACACACUUAGCAAGUGUUAAAAUGUUAAUCCAGGUACAGUGGCAGCAAUUUGCACCAAAACGUAUUCAUUAUUUAUUUAGGCAUUACGGUAUAUAUCUUAAGUGUGUCUUUAAAUAAAAUGAACACAGAAACAAUUUUAUAAAUGAACAUUUACAGAUUAUCUACACUUAUCUGGAACAUUGUGAAGCAGAAUUCUUUGCACCUAUAACACACUUUUCAUUGGGUGCAUGCAGCUUUAUUAAAGUUGAUUGUUCAUUCAGUUGUCCCUGAAUAAACGACACCAUUACUGUUGUUUCUAAGUAUGUGAUGAAAGCAGUUGCACAUAUUUCACAAAAUACAUCCCAGCAAACAUUGGUCCGACCGCAACGUCGUGUCCCUGGCCAAAAAUAGUUGCGGUAUGACGGCACAAAUCGGUGAAAAUAUGUAACACAGAACAUUUCAUAAAAAUGCAUUCAGAUACAUUUGUACAUGUCUAUAGUUCUAUGGGGUUGCAUGUAUAAUUGUUACUUUGACUUUUACUACGUGUGCUUCAAUAUUUAUACCCUGUUGUGAAUCGGUUGUAAGAGGACGUCACUAGGUGACGUCUUUUACACGUGCAUUUAUAGUCCAUCAUGACCCUCUAUAAAAAAUCAUAAACCUUAUAAAGUCAUUGCGAAAUAUGCAAAUGCUGUGCCUACACCUUGGUUAAUACUGUAAUAAUUAAUUUAAGUGCAAAAAGUAUUUUUUUAAGAGGUUGUGAAUAGACGUCCACUGACGUCUUUUACACGUCUAGACUAGACUAGUAGGAAAAAAACAGAAUUAUCUUUAUGAAAUACACGAUUUGUAUACAAAGUAAAUAUAUUAACUUUAUCUUGUUUAAAAAAAUUAUAAUCACAAAGUGCCCAGUGUGAUUGCAAAGCCACAAUACAUUUUAGUCAUUAUUUCAACCUGCUUUAUUAUUAAAUGUAUGCAUAUAAAUGUAAAGAAAGUAUAUAUCCGGUUACCAUUUAGGUCUGAGUUGGAUGUAAUUUCAAAACUGCGCUGCCAAGAAUGUUUAAACAAAAUAUUUUACAAAAUCGCGCGAUAGGAUAGAUUUUCUCGCGAGAUAGUUGUCACGUCACACGUUCUCCCGGAAGUACGUCGUGUGCAGCCAGCAAGCCACGACGAGAGGGUGAAUUUAUGAAGGAGUUGUGUCUAUAUAUUAUAUAAAACCUACUAUUGGUUGAAGAUCAACACAAACCAAAUGAAGAUGUUGUCGAUUCUACAAACAAUAAAAAAGAAGAUCAAGUUUUGUGUCCAACACACUUGGAUGAGACGUGCCUGACUUUGUCUACCCUG